GCCACCAUGUAUCUCAGUGAGACUGAGAUGGCCUUGGAUGGAUGGAUAUGAAGUCAGAGGACCCAGGAGUACACAUGUCUUUCCCAGCCUCAACCCCUCACCGAAGAGCUGAAGCAAAGGCAGAAGGAAGCUUGCUGCUAGCUGGGGUUUUGACUCCUGACCUAGGAGGUGCUGCUGGGCCACUGGUCAGGUCUCAGAGCCUUGGACCGAAGACCUCUUCCUCCUAAAGCCACACCCCAGCCCCAGCAAGUUCCUAGAAUCUCUGUGGAGAACCAGGAAGCAGAUGACAUAAGCCACAGCGGUGGGAGUGCUGACUAUGGAUUGAAACCACUACAAACUGGUGAAGGAUUUGAGCCACCAGGCCGAGGGAUCCACACUGGAGCCAGGAAGUGACUUUCACAGUGAAGAUCGGAGCUCCCUGAUAGAACAGCAGCCAAUCCCAGUGACAGCAAGGCCCUGAGCUCCUCCUCCCAUGAGAACAGGAAAGUUUGAUCAGGAAACAAACCUCAGCAAGCUUCUCAACAGCCCCAACCUUCCCUCCAGUUCUCUUUUUAUGCUGUUGGCAACAAUCCUCACGUGGGUCCCCCAUGCACAGACCACGGUGAUUCAGUUAGGCUGGACAUUCCAAGUUGUGCAUUACUUAAUCCACCACAAUUAGAAAAGGCCAGAGACCCAGCUGGCUCGCUUCCUUCCUGGUGACACAAGAAGAGACCCACUGUCUGUAGAAGACUCUCACCAGCACCUGUGCACGUGGUGCCCUCAUCUCCAAUUUCCAGCCCUAAGAAUUGGGAGAAAUGUUUGCUGCAUAAGCCACUCUCAGGCCUCAGUAUUCUUCUGUAGCUGCUGGAAGGAGAACAUUAUGAUUAUCCCCAUUGUACAAAAGGAACUGGGGACACACAGAAGUAAGAAAUUUGUUCAAAAAGAACCCAGAGACCAACAAAUCUAGAGUGAUUAUUUUGGGGAGGGGUAGCAAAAACAGGUGGAAGUGAAUCAAGGGUGCUAAUCAGAUGUUUAAGGUCAGAAUCCUUGUCUUCAGCAAUUCUUUUGAAAGAGACCAUUAGCCCGUUGCCCAAGUGACACAU